CGCGCGUUGAAUUCAUAGGCGCGCGAAGCGAACCUAGGGAACUGAAACAUCUAAGUACCUAGAGGAAAAGAAAUCAACCGAGAUUCCGUCAGUAGCGGCGAGCGAAAGCGGAACAGCCCAGUUACUAAAUUAUUAUUUGUUCUAGCAGAAUGUUCUGGAAAGUUCAGCCAUAGCAGGUGAUAGCCCCGUACGCGAAAGGAUAAAUAAUGUAAUGCAGGUAACGAUGAGUAAGUCGGGACACGUGGUAUCUUGACUGAACAUGGGGGGACCAUCCUCCAAGGCUAAAUACUCCUUACUGACCGAUAGCGAACCAGUACCGUGAGGGAAAGGUGAAAAGAACCCCAGCGAGGGGAGUGAAAUAGAACCUGAAACCGUAUGCGUACAAGCAGUGGGAG
rnacentral:rRNA from 1 species